rnacentral:lncRNA from 1 species
CCAUCCCAUCCCAUCCCAUCCCAUCCCUCUCCUCCUCACCCCUAUGCACCCAUUGCUCUUCUGUUCACCUGCCCUCCCUCCCCUUCUCAACAACAGUUCACCCAUCCACAAUGCUCCCCAUGUUACCUUCUGGAUCUGGGCUUGUUGUGGGAUGUGUGCUCCAAACGGUACCUUCUGGGCCUGGUUCUGAUUUGGGAUGUGUACUCUCCAUGGUGCCUUCUAGACCUGCUUCUGCUGAAGGAUGUGUGCUCCACAUGGUACUUUCUGGCCCUGGUUCUGCUGAAGGAUGUGUGCUGCCUCUAGGAUCUGGUUCUGCUGAAGAACCCCUCUGGGUACUGUUCAGAUUUAGUUCUGACACAGGACGUGUUCUCAUGGUACCUUCUGCACCCAGUUCUGCACCCAUAGGACGUGUGCUCCUCAUGGGGCCUUCAGGACCUGGUCUUGCUGAAGGACGUGGAUCCCAGGUGGUACCACCUGGCCCUAGUUCUGCUGUGGGACGUGUGCUCCAUACAGUAUCAUCCAGGCCCAGUUCUGCUUCAGGACGUGCACUCCGUGUGCUGCCUUCUGGAUCCAGUCUUGUUGGACGAUGUGUGACCCCGAUGUGACCUUCAGGACCCAGUUCUGCUGUGGGAUAUGCGCUCCCCAUGGUACCACCCAGAUCCAGCACUGCUGCAGGAUGAGUGCUCCUUAUGGUCCCCUCUGGACCUGGUCCUCCCACGUGGUGGUUCCUCCACGUGGUAGCACCUACUGGGAGCACCACGGUGGGGGCUGAGUCUUGCCCUGCUUUGGGCCGUGGGUGCCACCCAUCGGUUUGGGUGGCACUAACAGGAUCCCGUCCUACCAGCGUCUGGGUGCUCCUGGUGGCACCAACCAGAUCCCAACCUGCUUUGGGCUUGAUGCCUUGCGUGGUCCCCACCGAAACCCAACGUGUUGGGCUCAUGGUGGUCUGUUUGGCCCCCACCACAACCCGCUCAGCUUUGGGCUGGGUGAUCUGCACAGUGCUGAGCGGAUCCUGUUCUGCUUUGGGGUGGGUGACAUGGAUGGUACCAAUCUGAUCCCGUCCUGCCUUGGACCUGUUGGUGCCAGAUAGAUCCUGUCCCACUUUGGCUUUAGUGGUGCCAACUGGAUCCUGUCCUGCCUUGGAUCUGUUGGUAGCAGGUAGAUCUUGUCCUGCUUUGUGCUUGGUGAUGCCAACUGGAUCCCGUCCUGCCUUGGACGUGUUGGUGCCAGAUAGAUCCUGUCCUGCUUUGGCUUUGGUGGUGCCAACUGGAUCCUGUCCUGCCUUGGAUCUGUUGGUGCCAGCUGUAUUCAGUCCUGCUUUGGGCUUGGUGAUGCCAACUAGAUCCUGUCCUGCCCUGGACUUGUUGGUGCCAGCUGGAUCCCAUCCUG